GCCAGCAUGGUAUAGGGGUUUUGAUUGUUGGACUAUGACUCUGGAGACCAGGGUUCAAAUCCCAGCUUGGCC